rnacentral:rRNA from 1 species
CGGGUGAGUAAUAUAUCAGAACGUGCCCAGUCGUGGGGGAUAUCGUAGCGAAAGUUACGCUAAUACCGCAUACGAUCUACGGAUGAAAGCGGGGGAUCGCAAGACCUCGCGCGAUUGGAGCGGCCGAUAUCAGAUUAGGUAGUUGGUGGGGUAAAGGCUCACCAAGCCAACGAUCUGUAGCUGGUCUGAGAGGACGACCAGCCACACUGGGACUGAGACACGGCCCAGACUCCUACGGGAGGCAGCAGUGGGGAAUUUUGGACAAUGGGCGCAAGCCUGAUCCAGCCAUUCCGCGUGCAGGACGAAGGCCUUCGGGUUGUAAACUGCUUUUGUACGGAACGAAAAAGCCUUGGCUAAUACCCAGGGUCCAUGACGGUACCGUAAGAAUAAGCACCGGCUAACUACGUGCCAGCAGCCGCGGUAAUACGUAGGGUGCAAGCGUUAAUCGGAAUUACUGGGCGUAAAGCGUGCGCAGGCGGUUAUAUAAGACAGAUGUGAAAUCCCCGGGCUCAACCUCGGAACUGCAUUUGUGACUGUAUAGCUAGAGUGCGGCAGAGGGGGAUGGAAUUCCGCGUGUAGCAGUGAAAUGCGUAGAUAUGCGGAGGAACAC